GUCAGACGUCACAGUGAUGCACUGAUACAGCUGAGAGAUACUGCAGCUGCUGAUGGAGGAUCACAAACAACAUAAUGGAUUGAAAGAAGUGGUUUCUUUCUCCAGUGGUUGUGGAAAAAUAUGCAAACUAAUCAGAUUUAGUCUGAAAGGUAAGUUAGAAAGUUCUUGCUUAUAGAAGUGUUAUAUAAAAGUAAUAUGACAUUCACAGUCGUGCUGCUCUUCAUGUCUAUGGUAGAAUCACAGCCGUGCUGAUAUUCAGUAUAACUGCACUCUUGAUCAUGUGAAACUGAUUAAAUGUGGCAGGAUGAAAUAAACAGCACCUGGAGAUCACGUGACCCUUCGGCAGCAAUGCACUCACAGUCCUUCGCUCGUCUCACUUUGUCAGAUAUUGUAUAAUCCUGUCAGUAAAUUUUGAACCACUCUUUUUCUAGCCCACUAUGAGUAUCCCAGCAGUCAAGGACAAUCGAAAAAGAGAGAUUGAACAAUCACCAAUAAAGAAAAAAUUCAAAGAUUCCACCAUCUCCAGAGAGGAUCUCAACACUGCUAUUGCUAACGGUAUCAAGCUAACGCUCAAAGAGCAACAAAGUACUCUCUAUUCGGUUGUGGCUUCGACAGUAAGAGAAGUGAUAGACUCUGCACUGAUCCCAGCACUCCGUGAUCUACAUUUGGAUAUACAAACGACCAACGAUUCUGUUAAAGAACAAAAAGCAGAAGUUGAAAAGCUAGCCAAAAUGGAAAAACAGAGACGUGACCGGGUCGAUUCUGUUCAGGCUGCUGCACGUGAGGAUAGGAGGACAGUCACAAACUCACCAACUCACCAAAAAUGACGGACACUGAAGACAGGAGCAGGAGAAAUAAUGUAUGACUGGUGGCUCUGCCUGAGGGGGCGGAGGGCUCUGAUGCAGCGGGCUUCCUCAGAGCUAAUCUUUCCAGGUGGAUCUCUUCACUGAAAGGCCGUGACAUCGAGAUUGACCGGGCCCGUCGCGUGUAUGACUGAAGGAAAAACUCUGAUCGGCCGCGUACUCUCAUCUUCCAUGUACUAAGAUGGCAUGACAGGUCAGCGAUCCUGAAGGGUGCUCGGCAGGCGUAUCCGGUGAAAUAUACGCAGGACAAUGUCACGCCACUAUUUUUUCAUGACUAUA